ACUAUGGCAUGGACCCUCAUCCUCGAGCCCCACUACUCAGAGGAGCUGGGAAGAAUUUCCACCCUUCCUAGUGGCAAGUCUCACUGUGAGAGCGGAGUGCCACCAGGCAAACAGGGCAGAAAGACUGCUUUAAGGAGAAUCCUUAUAUUGGGGGUUAUGAAGUGCAAUACACCCUCAUCCUCACGCUAACACUGGUACCAUGUAGCCCAAGCUUGUCUAACCUGCAGCCCGCGGGCUGUGUAUGGCCCAGGACAGCUCUGAAUGUGGCCCAACGCAAAUUUGUAAACUUUCUAAAACAUUAUGAGAUUUUUUUUUCUCAUCAGCUAUCAUCAGUGUGAGUGUAUGUUAUUUGUGACUCAAGACAAUCCUUCUUUUCCAAUGUGGCCCAGAGAAGCCAAAAGACUGGACACCCCUGAUGUGGCCCUUUCAUCCAUAGUAGCCUAUUUUGUCCUAAAGACGGUCUUGUGCAGUGAGUAGGCCAGGCCUCCCCACUACCACAGUUUACAGGCAAGGAAUGUGAUAUUUCAUAGGAUGACCCUGACUGGCACCUACAUUGCUAGCCAAAGAAUGGCACAAAGAUGUGGACAGAAGAGACAACCUUAAGCAGCUGACUGCUGGCUCCUGCAACAGUAUCAUCAUGGCAUUUGUCCUGGGGUCCCAAGGAAAGAAAACAAAUCUGUGGCUGAGGAACAGACUGAGUUGACAAAGCAGCUUCCACAGUAACACAAGGACAAAGGGUGUAUGUAGAUAUGCACGUGGUAGCAGGUUCUACUAAAGGAACCUGGACCGACCAUUCUGUAAGUACCCACUACACUCAGGGAAGGAAUCUGAGCUUGUAUUGUUGGUAGGCAAAGGUUUAUAAGGCAGAGAGGAGUGUGGUAGUUCUAUUAGAUGUGUAGUACACCUGGAAGUAGACAAUUAAAAACUUGGAACACU
ensembl:lncRNA LINC01890 long intergenic non-protein coding RNA 1890